GACGAACGCUGGCGGCGUGCUUAACACAUGCAAGUCGAACGGAAAGGCCCCUUUGGGGGUACUCGAGUGGCGAACGGGUGAGUAACACGUGAGUAACCUGCCCUUGACUUCGGGAUAACUUCAGGAAACUGGGGCUAAUACCGGAUAGGAAUCCUUGCUGCAUGGUGGGGGUUGGAAAGCUUCGGCGGUUUUGGAUGGACUCGCGGCUUAUCAGCUUGUUGGUGGGGUAGUGGCUUACCAAGGCUUUGACGGGUAGCCGGCCUGAGAGGGCGACCGGCCACAUUGGGACUGAGAUACGGCCCAGAAUCCUACGGGAGGCAGCAGUGGGGAAUAUUGCACAAUGGGCGGAAGCCUGAUGCAGCAACGCCGCGUGCGGGAUGACGGCCUUCGGGUUGUAAACCGCUUUCAGCAGGGGCGAAGCUUGUGGUGACGGUACCUGCAGAAGAAGCACCGGAUAACUACGUG
rnacentral:rRNA from 1 species